rnacentral:rRNA from 1 species
UACGUAGGUGGCGAGCGUUGUCCGGAUUUAUUGGGCGUAAAAGCGCGCGCAGGCGGUCGCGUAAGUCUGCUGUGAAAUCUCCCUGGCUCAACCGGGAGGGGGCGGCGGAGACUGCGGGACUGGAGGGACCUAGAGGCCGGUGGAAUUCCCGGUGUAGUGGUGAAAUGCGUAGAGAUCGGGAGGAACACCUGUGGCGAAGG